GGUCUUGAGUCACAUUUACAGAUGGGCAGGCAAAGAAACAGCACUGCUGUAGUUGAGUUAGUGCUCACUAAGUGGUUACACCCACUAAACCACACACAUCUGCCCUUGGUGGGGACCACGCCUCACACCAAAUGCUGAGACCAGCUGCCUUAUGAAGCCUCAUAAACUCAUAGCUUCACUGCUGCUAUCCGAAAGAAAAUACACAACAAGAAAGUGUCUCGAUCUGUGGAUUUGUGAAUAGGGCUCCUCACCAAAGCAUCAGGACACAGGGCCAAAGAGGUCAUUAGUAACUUAUCUUACUGGAAGACGAGAAAGAAACUUGAAAUAAAGCACCAGAUUUCCAGAAAAUCACCAUUUCAGGUACCUGGAAGAGGAAUAAAACUCCAAAGAAGAGCAUCUGCAGACUUUUACUGCACUUUAUGCUUAUGCUUUAGCUGAAGAUGCUUCAAACUGGAAUAAUCUGCAAACACCAGUCUUUACCAGGCUUGGAGAUUUGGAAGAACUUCUGAGGGACCAGCCAGAAGUGGAGACUAAGUCCACAGUGACUGGCCAAGAGCCUCAAGA